rnacentral:rRNA from 1 species
UGGGGAAUUGUUCGCAAUGGGCGCAAGCCUGACGACGCAACGCCGCGUGGAGGAUGGAGAUCUUCUGGUCGUAAACUCCUUUCGAUCGAGACAAAUGGCCUUCGGGUAAAUAGCCCGGAGGAAUGACGGUACCGAGUGAGGAAGCCCCGGCUAACUCUGUGCCAGCAGCCGCGGUAAUACAGAGGGGGCAAGCGUUGUUCGGAAUUACUGGGCGUAAAGGGCGCGUAGGCGGCCUGUUAAGUCGAACGUGAAAUCCCCGGGCUCAACCCGGGAACUGCGUCCGAAACUGGCAGGCUUGAAUCCGGGAGAGGGAUGUGGAAUUCCAGGUGUAGCGGUGAAAUGCGUAGAUAUCUGGAGGAACAUCGGUGGCGAAGGCGACAUCCUGGACCGGUAUUGACGCUGAGGCGCGAAAGCCAGGGGAGCAAA